ACAAGUGUAACAAGUUCAUCCUUGAUUGCUAUGACAAUCCAUUAUAUUGAUCUUACAUAACUGCCUUUCACAAAGAUCAUCGAGUAACUGCAGUGACUAUUGGUUAAUUUGAUAAGUAGAUCUCUAUAAUUUUGUAGAACCAGAUCUAGUUAUCAAAUUAAAUAACACUCAUUGGGAUUACUCGAUGAUCUUUUCGAUGAGGUUUUAUGCAAGAUCCAAAUAAUUCAUUGGCAUAACAGUCAAUUGUUACACUUAUUUUUUGUGGGAUUUGAAUAGACUUCACAUGCUGUGAAAACUGUAGUGAUUGCUAGAAAUUUUUCCAACCAGGGAACACACAUCAUGUCCUAAAAGACAAAUUCAACAAUUUUACUAAGAAAAUUAUGAAGAAUUAAUCUUGGCAUUGUAAUCGAAAGGGGUAUUACUUACCAUUCCGUUAGAAGUAAAAAGGUGAAUGGGAGUCCUCGUGACCAUUACUUAGUUUGUAGGGGCAUUGUAAUAUGUGAAGGGCGGAACUCGAAUACGUAAUUGUCUGCUUAUUCACCUUAGGAUUUUAAUUUUUUUAUUUGUAAUAUAUCCAUUUUCAAGUUUUGGUUC